CUCCUUCGUGUUGGUCGAUCAGUAUCAAAUCGUAGAUAGCGUAAACUACAACAAUUUAGCAUACACGCAUAGAAGGGUAGAACCUUUAUAAUAUGACUUCUACUUCCUUUUACGGUCAACGUCCACAAACAGGUCCUCAAUACAUCUUCCUGGCUAAACCUUUGAGUCCUACUCCAUUGGACACGAUUAUGUAGACGAUAGAAGUUCUUACGAACCACCGUCAUAGCCUUAAUGGACUUCUUUUGCAUGAAGUGGCCGUUUCUUUGAGUAGUUUAAGGGAAUGCAAGAGGACUCUGUGUAAAUGACCUGCUACUGACCCUUGUGGAAC
rnacentral:rRNA from 1 species